rnacentral:rRNA from 1 species
AUAUCAGUAGGCGGAGGAAAAGAGACUAACAAGGAUUACCUCAGUAGCGGCGAGUGAAGAGGUAACAGCCCAAGAUGUAAAUCUGAACCGUAAGGGGAAGAAUUGUAAUCUAUAGGAAUUCUCGGAAGCGAUUAGUAAGUCAUAAGUCCCUUGGAAAAGGGUGCCAAAGAGGGUGAUAGCCCCGUCUUAGGAUCGACGAGUUCGUAUGAGGGUUUUCUAAGAGUCGGGUAGUUUGGGAAUGCUGCCCUAAUUAGGAGAUAUACUUCUUCUAAGGCUGAAUAUCUAUAGGAGACCGAUAGCGCACAAGUA